CUCCUCUCCUUCCUAAUUUGUGUUUGGCGUCUCACUCUGAUUACAUUUAUAUGAAGCCAGCUUAACAUUUGAUUACAAUUUUUAUGUAAUCUUCAUAACAUCAUGAUGUGUCUGCAGCAGCUAACCAGAGGAAACCAGCACAGACUAAGCAUCUCGUUUCCAUUUCAACAUUGUGCCAUUUUGUUUAAUUUAUCAGAUUAUAAGGUUAUUUGUGAAAAGUUUUUAAGUUGUGAUUUCAUUAGAAAACUACUUCCUGUUU